rnacentral:tRNA from 1 species
GGCGCUGUAGCCAAGCGGUAAGGCAAAGGUCUGCAACACCUCUACGCAUCGGUUCAAAUCCGAUCAGCGCCU